CGGGACGGGUGAGUAACGCGUGGGUAACCUGCCUCACACUGGGGGAGUAACAGUUAGAAAUAGCUGCUAAUACCGCAUAAGCGCACAGUUCCGCAUGGAACAGUGUGAAAAACUCCGGUGGUGUGAGAUGGACCCGCGUCUGAUUAGCCAGUUGGCGGGGUAACGGCCCACCAAAGCGACGAUCAGUAGCCGGCCUGAGAGGGUGAACGGCCACAUUGGGACUGAGACAUGGCCCAA
rnacentral:rRNA from 1 species